UAGCACCACCAUCACACAUUUCACUCAUAGAUAAAGAUAAGACUCAUGGAACUAUCAUCCACGUGACAUCAUUUUAGUGGUUCAAACCGAUAAAGAUAUCACCACCUUUCCAUAGCAUUUGUGGUUGUUACCAUGCAAUUAAAAUUCACACAUAUCCACUCAAAAUCAAACGGUCUAAAUCCUAUUCUACUAAUCUCAUGUAUUUUCAACCCUCUGAUCACUCCGCGGCUUGUUUCCAUUGUUGAUACCAUUAUAUAUAGACGACCAAAGCACUAUACCCACAC
rnacentral:lncRNA from 1 species